AUUGAACGCUGGCGGCAUGCCUUACACAUGCAAGUCGAACGGUAACAGGUCUUCGGAUGCUGACGAGUGGCGAACGGGUGAGUAAUACAUCGGAACGUGCCUAGUAGUGGGGGAUAACUACUCGAAAGAGUGGCUAAUACCGCAUGAGAUCUACGGAUGAAAGCAGGGGAUCGCAAGACCUUGUGCUACUAGAGCGGCCGAUGGCAGAUUAGGUAGUUGGUGGGAUAAAAGCUUACCAAGCCGACGAGCUGAAGCUGGUCUGAGAGGACGAUCAGCCACACUGGGACUGAGAAACGGCCCAGACUCCUACGGGAGGCAGCAGUGGGGAAUUUUGGACAAUGGGCGCAAGCCUGAUCCAGCAAUGCCGCGUGCAGGAUGAAGGCCUUCGGGUUGUAAACUGCUUUUGUACGGAACGAAAAGCCCCGGGUUAAUACCCUGGGGUCAUGACGGUACCGUGAGAAUAAGCACCGGCUAACUACGUGCCAGCCGCCGCCGUAA
rnacentral:rRNA from 1 species